UCUUAUCACGUUGUAAACACCGGUUCCCGUACGAUCACAGAAGUUAAGCAACGUCGAGCAUGGUCUGUAUUUAUUUGGGUAACCCCUAGCGAAUACUAGGAGUUGCAAG